ensembl:snoRNA
UAAUGAUGAAACCUAAACUGAAAUAGCUGGAAUUACCGGCAGAAGGUUCAGUGGUGAUCAUCGGUUUUCUGAAC